CAAGCUGAUUAAAUUCUUUUCCAUUUUCAUUUCAAAAUUUGAGUGUAUUUUUGCAUGUUUUCUUUCAGUCUGAGUUUUCAGAGUUGUACCUUAUUAAUCGCUGUCAAAAUUUGUAUAUUUUUCGUUUUUUAAGGUAUGUUCAUAAGUAGCAUGGGAUAUAAAGGAUUGAGGCAAACUUAAGGUUAGAACUUCUAUGUCAGGCCAAGUGGAUUUAAGGAACUAAGUCCACCAAGGUGAAUGCAUUUUGCCUGUCUCCUGCCCCUCAGUGCAGGGAACAAGGCUAGAAAUACAAUAUGUGGAGUUCCUGUCAUGACUCAGAGGAAACGAAUCUGGGUAGUAACCAUGAGGAUGCAGGUUUGAUCCCUGGCCUUGCUCAGUGGGUUAAGGAUCCAACAUUGCCAUGAGCUAUGGUGUAGGCUGGCUGCUGCAGCUCUGAUUUGAACCCUAGCCUGAGAACCUCUGGAAGCCGUGGGUGUGGCCCUAAAAAGACCAAAAAAAAAAAAAAAAAGAGUGUUUCUUCAAUGUCAUCAUUCCCAGUGUAUGUUCGUAGGUAUAACUCAUGGAGCACUUACUAUGUACUAGGCAUUGUUCUACAUAUUUUUCCAGCCAAUAUCUUGGUUGGUGGUGAUAUUUUCUGUAUUUCUGAAGAAAAGGAGGCUCAGAAAGAGAAAGAGAGCUAUGUGAACAAGUUCACCCAGUGUAUAAUGAGCAACAUAAGUACCAAACCCAGGGCUGUCCACACAGAUUUAGAGGGUGCUGAGCGGAAAAGAAAUCCACAACCUAAUGAGACUGAGCAGUGAAGGAGAACAUCCUUCAGUGUUAUGAUGCAUGUAUCCUUCAUGUAGUUGUGACGCAGAUGGUAUUAAGCCCCUGUGCUCUGGGUAAGUUUUGCUCCUUUUCAUCUGUAUGAAACUGAGUGAAAUAUCUUUAUGCUUUUGAAGUGAUAGCCUUGUAGAGUUGAAGAUCUAGUGACCUGUGGCUCACUAUCAAUUUCCGGAAUAAACAUAUACACACAAUUUCAAGUGUUGAAUCCUACAGAAGGUGUGUGAUAGAUAUCUUAGCUUUAAAAAUGCCCACCAGUAUGAAUGCUAUGGUAAAUACCGCUCAAAUGGUAUACUUUAGCGGUAGCUUUAGUGAUUCCCAAAGUGAGGGCUUUCCAUGGAGAUCAUUUUGGAGGUUUUCCCAUCUUUAUAAUGAGUCUUCUAUUAAAAAAUCUUGUUGAGAGAAUACCCCCAUUUGAGAGAAGAGGCCUAGACCACAUUAAUUGUACAGUCUUGUUUUACAGAAGAGGAAACUUGGUCCCAAAGAAAGUAAGAAACUUACUCUGCCCUCUGGAGAAGAACUGAAGCUGGGAUCCAGUAUAUUCUUUUCUACCACAAGUACCCAUUUCAUCAUUUAAAAAAAAAUCUAAUUAUAGUUGACUUACAAUAUUCUGUCAAUGUUUGCUGUACAGCAAAGUGACCCACUUAUACACAUACAUACAUUCUUUUUCACACAUUAUCCUCCACCAUGCUCCAUCACAAGUGAUUAGAUAUAGUUCCCUGUGUUAUACAGCAGGAUCUCAUUGCUUAUCCACUCCAAAUGCAAUAGUUUGCAUCUUCUAACCCCAAACUCCCAGUCCAUCCCACUCCUUCCCCCUCCCCCUAAAAAACCACAAGUCUGUUCUCCAAGUCCAUGAGUUUGUCUCUUUUCUGUAGAUAGGUUCAUUUGUGUCAUAUUUAGGAUUCCAGGUAUAAGUGAUAUCAUAUGGUGUUUGUCUUUCUGACUUACUUCACUUAGUUUGAGAGUCUUUAGUUUCAACCCUGUUGCUGCAAAUGGCAUUAUUUUGUUCUUUUUUAUGGCUGAGUAGUAUUCCAUUGUGUAUAUGUACCUCAUCUUCUUAAUCCCUUCAUCUGUGGAUGGACAUUUAGGUUGUUUCCACCUCUUGGCUAUUGUCAGUAGUGCUGCAGUGAACAUAUGGGUCCAUGUAUCUUUCUCAAUGAUAAGUUUUGUCCAGUUAGAUGCCCAGGAGUAGGAUUGCUGGGUCAUAUGGUAGUUCUAUAUUUAGUUUUUUGAGGUACCUCCAUACUAUUUUCCAUAGUGGUUGUACUAAUUUACACUCCCACCAGAAGUGUCAGAGGGUUCCUUUUUCUCCACAUCCUCUCUAGCAUUUAUUUGUUCAUUUAUUAAGGAUGGCUAUUCUGACUGGUGUGAGGUAGUAUCUCGUGGUAGUUUUGAUUUGCAUUUCUCUAAUAAUCAGUGAUGAUGAGCAUUUUUUCACGUGCUUUUGGCCAUCUGUAUGUAUUCUUUGGAGAAAUGUCUAUUCAGAUCUUCUGCCCAUUUUUAAGUUUGUUUUUACUGUUGAGUUGUAUGAAUUAUUUGUGUAUUUUGGAGAUUAAGACCUUGUCAGUUGCGUUGUUUGAAACUAUUUUCUCCCAUUCUGUAGGGUAUCUUUUUUUUUUUUUUAAUGGUUUCCUUUGCUGUGCAAAAGCUUAUCAGUUUUAUGAUGUCCCAUUGGUUUAUUUUUGUUUUUAUUUCUAUUACUUUGGGAAACUGACCUAAGAAAACAUUUGUGGUUGAUGUCAGAGAAUGUUUGCCUAUGUUCUCUUCUAGGAGUUUGAAGGUGUCUUGUCUUAUAUUUAAGUCUUUAAGCCAUUCGAGUUUAUUUUUGUGCAUGGUGUGAGGGUGUGUUCUGGUUUCAUGGAUUUACAUGUAGCUGUCCAGUUUUCCCAGCACCACUUGCUGAAGAGACCGUCUUUUUCCCAUCUUACAUUCUUGACUACCUUGUCAAAGAUUAAUUGACCAUAGGUGUCUGGGUUUAUUUCUGGGUUCUCUGUUCCAUUGGUCGGCAUGUCUCUUUUGGUACCAGUACCACACCAUCUUGAUGACUGUAGCUUUAUAAUAUUGUCCAAAGUCUGGGAGAGUUAUGCCUCCUGUUUGGUUUUUGUCUCUCAGAACUGCUUUGGCAAUUCUGGGUCUUUUGUGGUUGCAUGUAAAAUUUUGGAUCGUUUGUUCUGGUUCUGUGAAAAAUGUCAUGGGUAAUUUGAUAAGGAUUGCAUUGAAUCUGUAAAUUGCUUUGGGUAGUAUGGCUAUUUUUAUGAUAUUAAUUCAUCCAAUACAGGAGCAUGAAAUAGCUUUCUAGUUCUUUGAAUCCCCUUUAAUUUCCUUGAUUAAUGUUUUAUAGUUCUCAGCAUAAAAGCUUUCACCUCUUUGGUCAGGUUUAUUCCUAGGUAUUUAAUUUUGGGGGGCUCAAUUAUAAAAGCUGGGCUGUGGGAUGGAAAUCCUGUGAAAUCAGAUUGUUAUGAUUAUUAUACAACUACAGAUGUGAUAAAUUCACUGGAGUAAUUAAAAAAAUAAAAAUUUACUGUAUUUUUAUAUCCUUUUCUAAUAUUUCAUUGUUAGUAAACAAAAAUGCAACCAACUUCUGGAUGUUAAUCUCGUUUCUGCUACUUAUGCUGAAUUUGUAGAUCAGUUCGAAUAGUUUGUUGUGUGGAGUCCUUAGGGUUUUCUGUAUAUAGUAUCAUGGCAUCUGCAUAGAGUGGCAGUGUUACCUCAUCUCUUCCAAUUUGGGUAUCUUUUAUUUCUUUCGUUUGUCUGAUUGCUGUGGCUAGGACUUCCAAUACUAUGUUGAAUAAAAGUGGUGAGAGUGGGCAUGCUGUUUCAUCUUAAUAGUGCCUUCAGCUGGAACCUAAGCAUUUUUAAAAAAAACUUUAUUGAAAUAUAGUCGAUUAUACAAUGUUAAUUUUUGCUGCAUCAAAGUGACUCAGUUGUAUAUGAAUAAUUUUUCAUACCCUUUUCCAUUAGGUUUUAUCAACAGGAGAGGUUCAAUAUAGUUUCCUGGGCUAUGUAGUAGGACCUUGUUUAUCUGUUCUAUAUAUACCCGUUUGUAUCUGCUAACCUCAAACUCCCACUCCAUCCCUGCACUACCCCCUUCUCCUUUGGCAACCUCAAAUCUCUUCUCUCUGUGAGUCUAUUUCAUAGAUAAGUUCAUUUUAGAUUCCACAUAUCAGUGAUAUCAUAAGAUAUUUUGCUUUUUGACUUACUUCACUUACUAUGAUAAUCUCUAGGUUCCUCCAUGUUGCUGCAAAUGGUAUUAUUUCAUUCUUUUUUUUACAGCCAAUAUUCCAUUGUAUAUAUGCAGCAUAUUUCCUUUAUUCAUUCAUCUGUGGAUGGACACUUAGGUUGUUUCCAUGUCUUACCUAUUGUGAAUAGUGCUUCUAUGAACAUAGGGGUACAUACGUCUUUCCUAAUAACAGUUUUAUCUGGGUGUAAGUCCAGGAGUGGGAUGGCUGGAUCAUACAGCAACCCUAUUUUUAGUUUUUUGAGGACACCCUUUGCCACAGUGGCUGUAGCAGUUACAUUCCCACCAAUAGUGUGAGAGGGUUAAACCCAAAAUUUGAAUGUUGUAUUGAGAUAUAAGUUGCAGAUGAGGAGUCCCUGAGCUUUGAAGUCUCCUAUCACUAGUCAGUAUCACUACUAGCUGUAUGACCUUGGGCAGUGUGUUCGUCUCUGAACCAGUUUUCUCCUCCACACAAGGCAGUUGUGCAACACGGUGUCUAGAGUCAUUGUGUUACCACAACACGUGACUCUGAUUUCAACCUAUUUGUGAAUGAACUUCUUUUCACAAAGCACAUGGCUGCCUUUUUACCUCAUUAAGAUUCUCUGCAUUUCUAAUGGAAAAUGAUGUUGGCACAAUAAUUCCAAAUAUGAACAAACGCUAAAAGAUAAAAUACACAUUUUCCAAACAUGAAAGAACUCAGAGAAUUUAUCUCCCUAGUUCCUAGUUUUAAUAAGCCAUUAGUGGCUAUCCUUGAGCAAGUCAGGGAACUAAGACAUAUGUGGGAGCCAAGAAGUGAUAAGACAAAUGCAGACGCCCCAAAGAGGGACAUCCUGAGGGGAUAACUGGUCAGCAUCCUUAGGAAACAAUUCAUCAAAAUUAGGACAGGAAGCCAGUGGACUCCAAGAAGGAUGCCUUCAGGAGAAAGAAUGGAACGGAUUCAAAGAACGAUGAGAGAGCCAGAUAAUACUAGUGACCUAUCUUAAAAAAAUCACAUGUUUAUGUGGGUGUGUUACCGUUCCGUAAGAACACAGAAAAAUAACCAACACCAAGAGAAAGAAAUUCAUAAAAACUAAAUGGAAGAGUCCCAGAUAUGAGGCAG
rnacentral:lncRNA from 1 species